rnacentral:rRNA from 1 species
UACGUAGGGUGCAAGCGUUGUCCGGAAUUAUUGGGCGUAAAGAGCUCGUAGGCGGUUUGUCGCGUCGAAUGUGAAAACCCGGGGCUCAACUCCGGGCCCGCAUUCGAUACGGGCAGACUAGAGUUCGGUAGGGGAGACUGGAAUUCCUGGUGUAGCGGUGAAAUGCGCAGAUAUCAGGAGGAACACCGGUGGCGAAGGCGGGUCUCUGGGCCGAUACUGACGCUGAGGAGCGAAAGCGUGGGGAGCGAACAGG